rnacentral:rRNA from 1 species
GAUGAACGCUGGCGGCGUGCCUAAUACAUGCAAGUCGAGCGAACAGACGAGGAGCUUGCUCCUCUGACGUUAGCGGCGGACGGGUGAGUAACACGUGGAUAACCUACCUAUAAGACUGGGAUAACUUCGGGAAACCGGAGCUAAUACCGGAUAAUAUAUUGAACCGCAUGGUUCAAUAGUGAAAGACGGUUUUGCUGUCACUUAUAGAUGGAUCCGCGCCGCAUUAGCUAGUUGGUAAGGUAACGGCUUACCAAGGCAACGAUGCGUAGCCGACCUGAGAGGGUGAUCGGCCACACUGGAACUGAGACACGGUCCAGACUCCUACGGGAGGCAGCAGUAGGGAAUCUUCCGCAAUGGGCGAAAGCCUGACGGAGCAACGCCGCGUGAGUGAUGAAGGUCUUCGGAUCGUAAAACUCUGUUAUUAGGGAAGAACAAAUGUGUAAGUAACUAUGCACGUCUUGACGGUACCUAAUCAGAAAGCCACGGCUAACUACGUGCCAGCAGCCGCGGUAAUACGUAGGUGGCAAGCGUUAUCCGGAAUUAUUGGGCGUAAAGCGCGCGUAGGUGGUUUUUUAAGUCUGAUGUGAAAGCCCACGGCUCAACCGUGGAGGGUCAUUGGAAACUGGAAAACUUGAGUGCAGAAGAGGAAAGUGGAAUUCCAUGUGUAGCGGUGAAAUGCGCAGAGAUAUGGAGGAACACCAGUGGCGAAGGCGACUUUCUGGUCUGUAACUGACGCUGAUGUGCGAAAGCGUGGGGAUCAAACAGG